rnacentral:rRNA from 1 species
GAUGAACGCUGGCGGCGGGCCUAAUACAUGCAAGUCGAGCGAACGGACGAGAAGCUUGCUUUUCUGAUGUUAGCGGCGGACGGGUGAGUAACACGUGGAUAACCUACCUAUAAGACUGGGAUAACUUCGGGAAACCGGAGCUAAUACCGGAUAAUAUUUUGAACCGCAUGGUUCAAAAGAGAAAGACGGUCUUGCUGUCACUUAUAGAUGGAUCCGCGCUGCAUUAGCUAGUUGGUAAGGUAACGGCUUACCAAGGCAACGAUGCAUAGCCGACCUGAGAGGGUGAUCGGCCACACUGGAACUGAGACACGGUCCAGACUCCAACGGGAGGCAGCAGUAGGGAAUCUUCCACAAUGGGCGAAAGCCUGACGGAGCAACGCCGCGUGAGUGAUGAAGGUCUUCGGAUUGUAAAACACUUUUAUUAGGGAAGAAGAUAUGUGUAAGUAACUGUUCACAUCUUGACGGUACCUAAUCAGAAAGCCACGGCUAACUACGUG